GCCUCUUCAUCCAAUCUUCUUGUAGCCCAUUUUCUACUUGGCAUCUUAAAGAUGCUUUACACAGGUCUGUAAUUAAACUAUUAAAAUUAUUUAGCAACGUGGUAAGCAUAGAUUUACAGUGAGAAGUUCCCUUUUUACUUAAAAUAGAUUACAGCAACAAAAAUUUAAUUUAUAUGUCAUUUAAAAAAUCCUUCAAUGGGGGCUGGGAAUAUGGCCUAGUGGCAAGAGU